UGUUCACCCUCAGGUACCAGUGACAAAUACCAGAUUAUUGGAAACCUAUAUUUCUUCCGCACAUCCGUCCGUUUUCUCCUCUGGAGCAAUACUCUUGAGACUGGGCAGGUAAGCCACAGCCCAGGUCCCACAUGACCAGGUGGCAGGGAUGGCUAAACCCUCUGCUGUGGCUGGGGAUGGCGCAGGCUCUGUCAGUGUGGGUUACUCGUAGCCUGCAGCCAAGCCUUGGUAGGAUGGAUGCCUACUGCAGGGCAGGGGACCUGUGCUUAGGAAGCCAGUCUUGAGAUUCUCGAGGAGCACUGGACAGCUGGCUUCCAGCAGUCAUCAGACCUAGGGCUGGUCCUGUGCACUGAGUCCAGACAAUGUUGGUGUCUGGG
rnacentral:lncRNA from 1 species